GAGAGAGACAUGCGCGCAUAUCAAUAAGCGGAGGAAAAGAAACUAACAAGGAUUCCCCUAGUAACGGCGAGUGAAGCUGGAAGAGCUCAAAUUUGAAAUCUUAAAGGGUUUCCCUUUACGAAUUGUAGUUUAAAGAAGUGUUUUCUGUUGAGGUUUUGGUAAAAGUUCUUUGGAAUAGGACAUCAUAGAGGGUGAGAAUCCCGUAUUUGACCUUUACUUUCAACUUUGUGAUACACUUUCAAGGAGUCGGAUUGUUUGGGAAUGCAGUCCAAAAUGGGUGGUAAAUUUCAUCUAAAGCUAAAUAUUGGCGAGAGACCGAUAGCGAACAAGUACCGUGAGGGAAAGAUGAAAAGAACUUUGAAAAGAGAGUUAAACAGUACGUGAAAUUGUCAAAAGGGAAGCGUUUGACACCAGUGUUGUUUUUCUGAAAAUCAAUUAAAGAACUGUCUAUGCUAAGCUUGUUUAGACUUUAUCAGGCUAUCUGUUUAGUUUUGAGCUUUUCUUUAAUGCACUUUUCAGUUAACAAGUCAACAUCAAUUUCUUUUGCUGUAAAAAAGCUUGAGGAAGGUGGCUUGGGAUUCGUCUUAAGUGUUUAUAGCCUCUUGCCUAUGCAGUCGGAGAGAUUGAGGUCUGCAGCGUAGAUCCUUCGGGGCUAAAUGCAUUUGUGCUAAGUUAUAGCAUUUUAUAGACAACUUGUUGACUAUGAUUUGUCUUGUAGCUUACUCGCUUAUGUUAUUUUACCUACGCUUAGGAUGUUGACGCAUGAGAUAUACGC
rnacentral:rRNA from 1 species